rnacentral:rRNA from 1 species
GAUUUACUUCGGUAAUGACGUUAGGAAAGCGAGCGGCGGAUGGGUGAGUAACACGUGGGGAAUCUGCCCCAUAGUCUGGGAUACCACUUGGAAACAGGUGCUAAUACCGGAUAAGAAAGCAGAUCGCAUGAUCAGCUUUUAAAAGGCGGCGUAAGCUGUCGCUAUGGGAUGGCCCCGCGGUGCAUUAGCUAGUUGGUAAGGUAAAGGCUUACCAAGGCGAUGAUGCAUAGCCGAGUUGAGAGACUGAUCGGCCACAUUGGGACUGAGACACGGCCCAAACUCCUACGGGAGGCAGCAGUAGGGAAUCUUCCACAAUGGACGCAAGUCUGAUGGAGCAACGCCGCGUGAGUGAAGAAGGUUUUCGGAUCGUAAAGCUCUGUUGUUGGUGAAGAAGGAUAGAGGUAGUAACUGGCCUUUAUUUGACGGUAAUCAACCAGAAAGUCACGGCUAACUACGUGCCAGCAGCCGCGGUAAUACGUAGGUGGCAAGCGUUGUCCGGAUUUAUUGGGCGUAAAGCGAGCGCAGGCGGAAGAAUAAGUCUGAUGUGAAAGCCCUCGGCUUAACCGAGGAACUGCAUCGGAAACUGUUUUUCUUGAGUGCAGAAGAGGAGAGUGGAACUCCAUGUGUAGCGGUGGAAUGCGUAGAUAUAUGGAAGAACACCAGUGGCGAAGGCGGCUCUCUGGUCUGCAACUGACGCUGAGGCUCGAAAGCAUGGGUAGCGAACAGGAUUAGAUACCCUGGUAGUCCAUGCCGUANACGAUGAGUGCUAAGUGUUGGGAGGUUUCCGCCUCUCAGUGCUGCAGCUAACGCAUUAAGCACUCCG